AGCGCGGGUUCCCCACACCGCGCCUGACCAGGAGCGCGUCCCUGACUUUACGGCCACGCCCCGGCCGCGGCCGCGAGCCCUUGCCAGCAAGACUCUCUCUCUUCCCCUCUCUCCCUCCCUCCCUCCAUCCAUCCUGCUCUCUUCUUCCUCGAUCUGUUUUCGCCUUUCCUUCUUUCCAGAUGCGAUGGAUAUAGAGACCUCAGUGACUGAAGCCAGAGAAGACGGUGAGAAGAAAGUACGGGACGAACGCGAGCACGGAGCAGGAGCAGAAAAAGAAAGUCACGUGUGCGCAGGGAGCUGCGGACCCCAAGAUCAACGAGAACCAGAAGGGCAGCGGUGGUGGUCACCAGGAGCCCUGGCAGCAGCAGCCUGAGGAGUUGGCCCAGGACUCCUCCGCAGACGAUCCGCGGCCUCAAGAUCAGGAGCGCCUCUUCAGCCCCAGCAUGUUCAGCAGGUUGCACCUGAAGGAGCCAGACAGCAUUUUCUGACCUUCUCAAUAUGUUUGCUGGAAAGCAGCUGGCAAUAUGCAUGGAUGUGAGUGAAGCUGAAGUGCAAGCCAGUAAGCCUGAUGAAAGCAACUGAUCACAGUAGCCACUCUGAAACCAGCCUCAGUCCUUGGAUACCUUUGUCCUACACAUUCUCUAAUUGGCCUGUUUUCGUUGCCUUUCUGUUUGUGAAGUGAGUUUUGAACUUUAGGGGGUGAAAAAUAGGAUACGUAAACCUUAGCUUAUGGAAAUUUCCCAUUAACAGAGGGAAUGUGCUUUCUAAUGGAAAAAUAAAAUUAAGCAGAACUGAACUGAUACUUCUAUUUCCUGUACAAAAUUAAGAAUAAAUAAAGUUCAAUUCCUUCUAACAAUG